CACUACAGUAUUAGUUUCGGCUUCUAUAGGUCUCCUUAUUUUAAACUUUUGUGUGGAGGGAACAUCUACAGGGCAGGAAUGCAGCCAGGUGUCAGGAGUGCAGCGGAACCAGGAAUUGACCAACCAACAGGUUUCUUGGCCGCUCAUCUCUGUUCCUCCAAGCACGUCUGUUUCAUUUCUCAUCUCUCUACAGAUCAACCUUGUCUACUGCGGGGCCAGAUGUGUCCACUCACAACUCCGAAAUGCUCGUGGUAUAGACCCACCCACGUUCCUAGGUUGGCUUCCCUGGUGAACUGAGGGAUGAUCCCCAAAGAAGAGGGAAAUGAUUAUGAGCUCCCUGCCCGAUAUGGGGCUUGAACUCAUGACCUCGAGAUCAAGAGUCAUAUGCUGUACUGACUGAGCCAACCAAGCACCCCUCACCUGUUCUCUUGAUAAAGACUUCUCCUCUUGUAUUGACAAACCAGCUUUCUAAUGCUCUACAAGGCUCUUCUCCAAAGCCCUCUGUGGAUCGGCCGGGCCCCUGAGCUUGCUGCACAAGACCCUUCGACCUGGUUCCUGAACAAUGCCUCUCUUUCCGAGCACGCUGCAAGCCUUCUCUUGACAUUUCAUGUAAUGGAACCACGCAGGGUAGUCUGUGGUAUCUGGAUUCUUUCACUUGGCACAAUGUUUUCACGGUCCAUUCAUGUGUCAGCAUGUUUUACUAUUGCAUUUCAACUCUUUUUAUUACUGAAUUAUAUCCCAUUGCAUGGAUAGACCACAUUUUAUUGAUCCAUUCACCAGUUGAUCUACAUCUGGAUUGGUUUCAGUUUGGGAUUCUUGCAAAUAAAGCUGCUAUGGACAUUGGUGUCCGUGUCUUUGUGUGGACAAAUGUUUUCACUUCUCCUGGGUAGACACCUGCGAGUGGUAGUGUUGGGUUGUGUGGUAAAUUUAUGUUUAACUUUUUUUUUUCUAUUUGGAUUUUUUAUUUAUUGCAGUAAUAGUGAUAGACCAGUUAAAUAAAGCAUGAGCCUCCAAGCAUUGCAUAUGCUCAUUUUAUACCUUUAUAAAUCUCUCCAUUUAAAAAUAUUUACUGAGUGUUAUAAUGUUCUAAGUUUUGUACUAGAGAGAAGACUCAACUUGAAAAGAAGCGAAUGAUGUGACACAUAUAAUGAAACUUAAGCAAGAAUUCUUUUUUUGGGGGGGGGGAUAUUUUUCAUUUUAUUCUGUUUUAUCAGUUUUUUUUUUCAUUUACAUCCAAGUUAGUUAGCAUAUAAUGUUAUAAUGAUUAUAGUAUAGCAUAUAGUGUUAUAAUGAUUUCAGGAGUAGAUUCCAGUGAUUCAUCCCCUACAUAUAA